rnacentral:lncRNA from 1 species
UUGUAUCUGAGCCCGGAAUGGACGCGGCGACAGUAACCGUUGAGUACAUUCCCGACGGGUGUUUGGCUUGUAUUUUCCAGUUUGUUCCCGGCGGCUCCCUCUUAUGUCACCGCUGGCUCAAGGUCUCCACCUCAAAAUGCCUUUUCACUUAUGUUUUCAUAAGAUAACUUUCAUCUAUUUUUUCUCGCUUCGAUUCCUCG